ensembl:lncRNA
AAAGAAAACCCAAGUUUCAUUGCUUUGCACUCACGCCUAAUAUUCAUAUUCAACCACACAGCAGGAUACAAAUCCUUUUCCCUUAUUGUUUCCUCUGCCUGAAAUGCUUUUUUUCCUCCCCAUGAUCUAACACUUGUCACCUGCCCUGGAAAACCUUGCCUGGCCACUUGCGAUAAAGCCUCUCCCUCCUUUCUCCAACCCAUUACUUUCUUCAUACCCCUCAUCAUGAUGUGACCUUUUUUUUUUUUAAACUUGCUUCUUAGCUCCCAGAAAGCAGGGAAGAGAAACCAGUUGAACAUGGUCUCCAAUUCACCAGGUUCCUGGUGCCUGGAGCCAAUACUCCUGUAUAAGAAUUGCUCCAUGAAUAUUUGUUGACUGAUGGAAACAAUGAGCAGAGAAGAGAUGCUGUUUCAAAAUGGGAAAAGCCAGUGUGUAUCUAGGGGAAUUCCGGGCAGAGAUAAAUCAGCCCACAUGACAUCUCAGGGAAAACUCAAGGUCAAAUGAGUCCUUUAAUUCAAGCAUCAGUGGGACUGCGAAGGCUAUGUACAUGUCUGCCAACUAAAGGAUGAACACUUAUAUGUUUAUCUGUGACUUCUAAGUAAAGAAUUCUACUUUGUCCAUUCAUCUAUGGAUGGACAAGUAGGUUGCUUCUAUAUCUUGUCUAUCGUAAAUAAUGCUGUCAUGAACAUAUAUCUUUUCUAAUUAGUAUUUUUGUUUCCUUUGGGUAGAUACCCAGAAGAAUUGCUGAGUUGUAUGGUGAUUCUAUUUUUAAUUUGUUGAG